rnacentral:rRNA from 1 species
AUGUCUACUUGUACUUCCCCAGAUCCACCGGACUACUGCUCCGCCGUAUCGCGUGAGCUUAAACUAUACCAGGCCUUCAUCUUCUCUGUGCCAGUUUUCUUCACAUUCGUCUUGCUUCUCUUCUUCUACUUGUUCUACCUGUGGCGGCGCAGAGCGAAUUGGCAGUCCUUGCAAAUGAGGGCUGAUAAUUUGAUCAGGGGGGAUAACCCUAGGUUGGAGUGUGGCAUAAAUAAGGAGAUGCGUGAGAUGUUGCCAGUCGUGAUCUUCAAGGAGAGCUUCUUGAUCAGGGAAACACAGUGCUCGGUCUGCUUAGCAGACUAUCAAGCAGAUGAGCGGCUUCAGAGAAUACCCCCUUGUGGUCACACCUUCCACAUCGAUUGCAUUGACCACUGGUUUUCUAAGAACACUACUUGCCCUCUUUGCCGAGUAUCGCUCCUGACUGCCCCCAGAGCUGCAAGCGUCGCUCCAACCGAUCUGGAAACACAAGCCAUCGAAGAGGACUGCUCUUCAAAUGCGCAGCAUCAUGUGGGCCUUAGAGAUGAGCACACGCGACCGGAGGAUCAGGCACUGGACGGCAGGAUCAGUGCCGGCCCAUCACAGCAGACUAACGUGGAAGCAUCAGUUGUUGUAGUCAUCGCGCCUCAAACAGCAGGGUCUCCAAGUUCUUGCCACUUGUCUGCCGUGUAA